CAAAUUUGUGUUUCCUACAAAUAGAACAGGUUAACAUUAUGCUUUAGAGCAGCUCCGGCUUCAACCAUACCUAAGAUUUAUGGACUUUGCUUUAAACUCUGGUUCAGGUCUGGAAACCAACCAGUUUCACUAAUUCUGAUUAAACAAAAGGCAGCCAAGACACUUGCCUUCUGAAUUCUUGUUUUUAAGUUUCUUUAAAGUUGUGUAAUUGUUCCACAUUGGGAAAAAAAGCCCUAAAUGUUAACAAUUAUGCCCUUACUGAAUGGAUUUAAACUUCUUUGCAGUAAGAAUUCACAUAGAGGGGUUCAUCGGGGUCAUCAUAAGAAAUAUUUUUCUUUCCCAAACAUUUUUGCAAGAGGUUGAAGGCAGAAAUUCCUGUUUUGCUUCAAGCUGUCAAAACAUAUGUAUAUACAGAUUUGGACAGUGUGCAAUUUGUUGUUUCCAACUAUGACAUAAAAUGAUAUCUUGGAGGUUUAAUUUCAAAUUUCGAGCCAAAGUAAACACAGUGCAAAAGAGAAUAGUCAGCACAACAAAGAAAAACAUCUACCUCAUUCCUAAUUCCAGAGGGAAAACAUAUUCAUGAAGGAAAAUAGAAAGCAAGUGUCCUUCCUUUUUUCCUAGCUCAAGGAAAUUAUAAACCUGUAAACCAGGUUUAUUAGUGUGCUGAAAGCAGCUGUUUUCUAAGAUGGGUGGGUUAAAAAUGCCUCCACAGCACUGUAAAAAACAAAUUGAUCAGUUAUCACUGAGUUCUUAUAAAUCAAGAUUAAAAACCCAUCUGUUUAGAUACUUUUGAACCAUAAUAAAUGGAACAUUGAUAUAUAUUGAUGUGUAUUGACAAUUUUAACAAUGGCACUUGACCAAAUGUCUGUUACUGGUUUUCAGUGUUGAAGGUAUGAUGCGUUUAUGAUGUUUUCAUGAUGUAAAACACUUUGAACUUUCUUUUUGCUGAAAUGUGCAAUACAAAUUAACUUAAUUAUCUCAAAGGCUUGACUGCGGUUGUUACUUUAAGGUGUGGCUUAACCAGUUCCCAGGUUACGGGCAAUUGCUUUUUCCAGACAGUUCCAUAUAGAUUUGGAUUUUACCCCUUCAUAACAAACACCUUAAUUUAAACGGUGGAUUUUGUAUGAACUUGCAUCAUCUUUGUCUGGCUUUUGUAUUUGUUUGAGAAUCUUAUACUCUUAGAUGUGACAAACAAAAAAAGAAAUCACAAAGUAAAUACAAAGAAAUACACUUAUUCUCACCGCUGUUUACAGUCUGAGCUUAAAGAAAGAUCUCGCAGAUGAGUGAAAGAACACUCUGCUCUGAGGAUUAAUGAUCUCCUGAAUCACACUGAAUCAUCACCAAGACAAAGAUUGGUCACCCUUUCUUUGAAAGUAAUGAAGGGGGUCAAGGUUCUCACGAAAAGCUGAAGUAUGAGUGAAUAUAAUGUAUGUUUAGAUACUGUGGACCAGAGAUUUAUGAGACUUAUGUUGGACGAGUGAUAAGAUGUACUCUUCAACAAUACCACCCAGGCGCAGACAGAUAAGGUGACUUUGACACAGAUGCACUCUAUGGAUCUCUCCCAAACAGUGAGCUAUGUUGGAUUGAUGAGAUCUCCUCCUGCUUCACAGCUGGUCAAAUCGAACCUUUAUCAAAAGCAAUUUAGUCUCAUCUUGAUUUCACUGAAGAGUUGCAGUGCGGCUUAAAACGGCAAAGACAAACUGUCCCAUAGUGCAGGAAGAAACGACUCACUAGCAGUAGGAAUGAGGAGUGUGGGGUUUGUUCCUUGUUCAUAUUAAGAGUCCACAGAUAUUUUUGUGUCUGCUUUAUCUGAGGAGAAUCACAGCAGUCUGAUCGGCCAUAUGCCUGACUGCAGGCUAGCUCUGUUUUCAAUCAGGGUCGGCUCCCAAAAGAUUUCCUGCCAAAUCUUCUGUGCACGCACUCAUAAACACUCCCUCCGCUUCUUAAGUGUUUACACUCUGCCUUGUCCUAACUUGGGGUUUCCACAAGCAUUGCGUUUAUUAAAUUAAACCAACCCUAGUUUCUUCACGUUCAAUAAAAACAAUCAAUUUCAAAAGGUGCAGAUUUGUUGUAAACUUUCAAAUUGCAAAUGACAUUGAAACUGCGUUCAGCACAGCUCCUCUGUGGAGUUUUAAAAACAUGUGGGAGACCUAGAAGAUGGAGGUCAAAGAUUAGCAAACAGACUGACAUACAACAAUUCAAUGCAAGAAAAAAAAUUGGAAAUGUGCCUUUUGGAAAAAUACUUAGUGUUCCUUCAAUUUUAUUUGGGUUUAGGCUGCAAUUUACAGUGGUAUAAACUAUGGAUUAAAUGGGGGAAGAAAAGGACAACUUCAGUGGAAUAAAACUUCACCAGAAAUCUUUUUUUCAGAGGAAAAACCUUUGGGAGCAGAAACCUCUUAAAUUUGCAUGAGUCUAAUCUUUAACAAGUGCUAAGUCGAUUUGAAGCAACAAACUAAACCUGCUGCACGUAAAACGUAUUUCCAUUUCAAGUGCUGUUUCCACAGUUCCCGUCUUGAAUAAACAGUGAAAUACAAAUAUUACCUCAAUACUGAACACAUGACAACAAAAUAUGAUAAAAUGCGAUAGAAUUUAUUUCAAAGUAAUUACAAAGAAAACCA